GACGAACGCUGGCGGCGUGCCUAAUACAUGCAAGUUGAGCGAUGAAGAUUGGCGCUUGCACCAAUUUGAAGAGCAGCGAACGGGUGAGUAACGCGUGGGGAACCUGCCUUUGAGCGUGGGACAACAUAUGGAAACGAAUGCUAAUACCGCAUAACAACUUUAAACAUAAGUUUUAAGUUUGAAAGAUGCAUUUGCAUCACUCAAAGAUGAUCCCGAGGUGGAUUAGCUAAUUGGUUAGGUAAAGGCCCACCAAGGCGAUGAUACAUAGCCGACCUGGGAGGGUGGUUGGGCAAAAUGGGAAUGGGAAACGGCCCAAACUCCUACGGGGAGGAGGAGGAGGGGAUUUUUGGAAAAGGAGGGAAGGCUGAACGAAGAACGGCGGGUGGGGGAAGGAGGUUUUCGGAUCGGAAAACUCGGUUGGUAGGGAAGAAAGUUGGUGAGAGUGAAAAGCUCAUGAAGUGACGUUAACUACACAGAAAGGGACGGCUAACUACGUG
rnacentral:rRNA from 1 species